rnacentral:rRNA from 1 species
GACGAACGCUGGCGGCGUGCCUAAUACAUGCAAGUCGAGCGGACUUUCAAGAAGCUUGCUUUUUGAAAGUUAGCGGCGGACGGGUGAGUAACACGUGGGCAACCUGCCUGCAAGACGGGGAUAACUCCGGGAAACCGGGGCUAAUACCGGAUAAUAUCUUCCUUCGCAUGAAGGAAGGUUGAAAGGCGGCGCAAGCUGCCGCUUGCAGAUGGGCCCGCGGCGCAUUAGCUAGUUGGUGAGGUAACGGCUCACCAAGGCGACGAUGCGUAGCCGACCUGAGAGGGUGAUCGGCCACACUGGGACUGAGACACGGCCCAGACUCCUACGGGAGGCAGCAGUAGGGAAUCUUCCGCAAUGGACGAAAGUCUGACGGAGCAACGCCGCGUGAGCGAAGAAGGGCUUCGGAUCGUAAAGCUCUGUUGUCAGGGAAGAACAAGGACCGUUCGAACAGGGCGGUACCUUGACGGUACCUGACCAGAAAGCCACGGCUAACUACGUG